rnacentral:rRNA from 1 species
ACACGUGAGUAACCUGCCCUUAACUCUGGGAUAAGCCUGGGAAACUGGGUCUAAUACCGGAUAUGACUCCUCAUCGCAUGGUGGGGGGUGGAAAGCUUUUUGUGGUUUUGGAUGGACUCGCGGCCUAUCAGCUUGUUGGUGAGGUAAUGGCUCACCAAGGCGACGACGGGUAGCCGGCCUGAGAGGGUGACCGGCCACACUGGGACUGAGACACGGCCCAGACUCCUACGGGAGGCAGCAGUGGGGAAUAUUGCACAAUGGGCGCAAGCCUGAUGCAGCGACGCCGCGUGAGGGAUGACGGCCUUCGGGUUGUAAACCUCUUUCAGUAGGGAAGA